AUUGAACGCUGGCGGCAGGCCUAACACAUGCAAGUCGAGCGAACGGCGGACGGGUGAGUAAGGUAUGGGGAUCUGCCUGAUGGAGGGGGCUAAAUAGUAGAAAAGGUAGAUACAACCGCGUAACAUAGGUUGAACACAUAUGGGUUUAGCUGGUAGGUGAGGUAACGGCUUACCUAGGCGACGAUCCAUAGCUGGCCUGAGAGGAUGAUCAGCCACACGGGGACUGAGACACGGCCCAGACGCCUACGGGAGGCAGCAGUGGGGAAUAUUGCACAAGGGGCGCAAGCCUGAUGCAGCCAUGCCGCGUGUAUGAAGAAGGCCUUCGGGUUGUAAAGUACUUUCAGUCGGGAGGCGUUACCGACAGAAGAAGCACCGGCUAACUCCGUGCCAGCCGCCGCGGUAAUAC
rnacentral:rRNA from 1 species